UGUCCCCUUCGUCUAGUGGUUAGGACACUGCCUUUUCGAGGCAGGAACACGGGUUCAACUCCCGUAGGGGAUAU
rnacentral:tRNA from 1 species